UACGUAGGGUGCGAGCGUUAAUCGGAAUUACUGGGCGUAAAGCGUGCGCAGGUGGUUGUGUAAGUCAGAUGUGAAAUCCCCGGGCUCAACCUGGGAACUGCAUUUGAGACUGCACGGCUAGAGGAUGGCAGAGGGGGGUAGAAUUCCACGUGUAGCAGUGAAAUGCGUAGAGAUGUGGAGGAAUACCGAUGGCGAAGGCAGCCCCCUGGGCUAUUACUGACACUCAUGCACGAAAGCGUGGGGAGCAAACAGGAUUAGAAACCCCUGUAGUCC
rnacentral:rRNA from 1 species